GGAUUAGAUACCCUGGUAGUCCACGCCGUAAACGCUGUCUACUAGCUGUAUGCGGAUGUAUAUCUGUGUGUAGCGAAGCUAACGCGCUAAGUAGACCGCCUGGGGAGUACGGCCGCAAGGUUAAAACUCAAAUGAAUUGACGGGGGCCCGCACAAGCGGUGGAGCAUGUGGUUUAAUUCGAUGCAACGCGAAGAACCUUACCUACACUUGACAUCCAGAGAACUUACCAGAGAUGGUUUGGUGCCUUCGGGAGCUCUGAGACAGGUGCUGCAUGGCUGUCGUCAGCUCGUGCUG
rnacentral:rRNA from 1 species